rnacentral:lncRNA from 1 species
UAAAGAGGAGAAGAAAGAGGACGAGAAGGAGAAGAAGAAGAAAAAGAAGAAGAAGGAGAAGGAGAACAAGAAGGAGAAGAAGGAGAAGAAGAAGAAGAAGAAGAAGAAGAAGAGGAAAAGCAAGAGGAUAAUUACAAUAUGUUUCUUAUUUUGAGCUUAUUCUGUCAUUUAAGAGGAGGAUACGCUAAUUUAUGAGCUAACCAAGGUUCUUGUGAUGUUUU